AUAACACCGGGAAACCGGUGCUAAUACCGCAUACGAUCACGAUGUCUGCGGAUGUUGUGAUGAAAGGAGCAAUUCGCUCCAGGAGGAGCCCGCGGCUGAUUAGCUAGUUGAUGAGGUAACGGCUCACCAAGGCUACGAUCAGUAUCCGGUCUGAGGGGACGGUCGGACACACUGGAACU
rnacentral:rRNA from 1 species